rnacentral:rRNA from 1 species
CGUUUCGGGGGUACACGAGCGGCGAACGGGUGAGUAACACGUGGGUGACCUGCCUGUACCUCUGGGAUAAGCCUGGGAAACUGGGUCUAAUACUGCAUAUGACUCUUGAGAGCAUGCUUGGGUUUGGGAUUGACCCUAGCGGGGUUGGAGAUGGGCGUGCGUCCUAUUAGCUAGUUGGGGGGGUAAGUACCCACCAAGGCAACGAUGGGUAGGGGGUCUGAGAGGAUGAUCCCCCACACUGGAACUGAUACACGGACCAUACUCCUACGGGAGGCAGCAGUGAGGAAUAUUGCACAAUGGGGACAACCCUGAUCCAGCCAUGCCGCGUGAAGGAUGAAGGCCCUAUGGGUCGUAAACUUCUUUUAUACGGGACAAAACCCCUCUACGUGUAGAGGGCUGAUGGUACUGUAAGAAUAAGGGUCGGCUAACUUCGUGCCAGCAGCCGCGGUAAUACGAAGGACCCGAGCGUUAUCCGGAUUUAUUGGGUUUAAAGGGUGCGUAGGCGGACUUAUAAGUCAGUGGUGAAAUCCUCCCGCUUAACGGGAGAACUGCCAUUGAAACUGUUUGUCUUGAGUACAUUUGAAGCGGGCGGAAUGUGUCAUGUAGAGGUGAAAUUCUUAGAUAUGACACAGAACACCGAUUGCGAAGGCAGCUCGCUAAACUGUAACUGACGCUGAGGCACGAAAGCGUGGGUAGCAAACAGGAUUAGAUACCCUGGUAGUCCACGCCCUAAACGAUGAUCACUCGAUGUGUGCGAUACACUGUACGCGUCUGAGCGAAAGCAUUAAGUGAUCCACCUGGGAAGUACGACCGCGAGGUUGAAACUCAAAGGAAUUGACGGGGGCCCGCACAAGCGGAGGAGCAUGUGGUUUAAUUCGAUGAUACGCGAGGAACCUUACCUGGGCUUGAAAGUUAGUGAAU